rnacentral:rRNA from 1 species
UACGGAGGAUGCAAGCGUUAUCCGGAAUGAUUGGGCGUAAAGCGUCCGCAGGUGGCUAUGUAAGUCUGCUGUUAAAGAGUGAGGCUCAACCUCAUAAGAGCAGUGGAAACUACAUAGCUAGAGUGCGUUCGGGGCAGAGGGAAUUCCUGGUGUAGCGGUGAAAUGCGUAGAUAUCAGGAGGAACACCCAUGGCGAAGGCAGUUCACUGGCAGUCUCCUGACGCUGAGGCGCGAAAGCGUGGGUAGCAAACAGG